CUUCCAGACUCCUACGGGAGGCAGCAGUGGGGAAUAUUGCACAAUGGGGGAAACCCUGAUGCAGCGACGCCGCGUGAGCGAUGAAGUAUUUCGGUAUGUAAAGCUUUAUCAGCAGGGAAGAAGAUGACGGUACCUGAAGAAGAAGCCCCGGCUAACUACGUGCCAGCAGCCGCGGUAAUACGUAGGGGGCAAGCGUUAUCCGGAUUUACUGGGUGUAAAGGGGGCGCAGACGGCGAUGCAAGCCAGGAGUGAAAGCCCGGGGCCCAACCCCGGGACUGCUCUUGGAACUGCGUGGCUGGAGUGCAGGAGGGGCAGGCGGAAUUCCUGGUGUAGCGGUGAAAUGCGUAGAUAUUAGGAGGAACACCAGUGGCGAAGGCGGCCUGCUGGACGACAACUGACGGUGAGGCGCGAAAGCGUGGGGAGCAAACAGGAUUAGAUACCCGCGUAAG
rnacentral:rRNA from 1 species